AGAGUUUGAUCCUGGCUCAGGACGAACGCUGGCGGCGUGCUAAUACAUGCAAGUCGAGCGGACAGAUGGGAGCUUGCUCCCUGAUGUUAGCGGCGGACGGGCGAGUAACACGUGGGUAACCUGCCUGUAAGACUGGGAUAACUCCGGGAAACCUGGGCUAAUACCGGAUGGUUGUUUGAACCGCAUGGUUCAAACAUAAAAGGUGGCUUCGGCUAUCACUUACAGAUGGACCCGCGGCGCAUUAGCUAGUUGGUGAGGUAACGGCUCACCAAGGCGACGAUGCGUAGCCGACCUGAGAGGGUGAUCGGCCACACUGGGACUGAGACACGGCCCAGACUCCUACGGGAGGCAGCAGUAGGGAAUCUUCCGCAAUGGACGAAAGUCUGACGGAGCAACGCCGCGUGAGUGAUGAAGGUUUUCGGAUCGUAAAGCUCUGUUGUUAGGGAAGAACAAGUACCGUUCGAAUAGGGCGGUACCUUGACGGUACCUAACCAGAAAGCCACGGCUAACUACGUGCCAGCAGCCGCGGUAAUACGUAGGUGGCAAGCGUUGUCCGGAAUUAUUGGGCGUAAAGGGCUCGCAGGCGGUUUCUUAAGUCUGAUGUGAAAGCCCCCGGCUCAACCGGGGAGGGUCAUUGGAAACUGGGGAACUUGAGUGCAGAAGAGGAGAGUGGAAUUCCACGUGUAGCGGUGAAAUGCGUAGAGAUGUGGAGGAACACCAGUGGCGAAGGCGACUCUCUGGUCUGUAACUGACGCUGAGGAGCGAAAGCGUGGGGAGCGAACAGGAUUAGAUACCCUGGUAGUCCACGCCGUAAACGAUGAGUGCUAAGUGUUAGGGGGUUUCCGCCCCUUAGUGCUGCAGCUAACGCAUUAAGCACUCCGCCUGGGGAGUACGGUCGCAAGACUGAAACUCAAAUGAAUUGACGG
rnacentral:rRNA from 1 species